rnacentral:lncRNA from 1 species
CAUUCCUCCAUCUCUUGGAAAACUAGGCAACUUAAGAUAUUUGUGCUUAGAAACAAAUGACCUAUAUGGUCCAAUUCCAAGAGAGAUAGGUGACUUAAGAAGAUUGAAGUUUCUUUACUUAUGGGGCAAUAAUCUUUCGGGAUCCAUACCUUCGGAGAUUGGGAGGCUAACCGAUCUUAUUGAAUUAUGUUUUUAUGAAAAUAAGUUGGUCGGGCAUAUCCCUGCUUCACUUGGAAACCUGAGCAGUCUAAAUGUUCUCUAUCUUUGGGGAAACCAAUUUUCAGGGUCCAUUCCUCCAUCUCUUGGAAAAUUAGGCAACUUAAGAAAUUUGAGCUUAGGAACAAAUGACCUUUCUGGUCCCAUUCCAAGAGAGAUAGGUGACUUAAGAAGAUUGAAGUUUCUUUACUUAUGGGGCAAUAAUCUUUCGGGAUCCAUACCUUCGGAGAUUGGGAGGUUAACCAAUCUUAUUGAAUUAUAUUUUUAUGAAAAUAAGUUGGUUGGGCAUAUCCCUGCUUCACUAGGAAACCUGAGCAGUCUAAAUGUUCUUUAUCUUUGGGGAAACCAGUUUUCGGGGUCCAUUCCUCCAUCUCUUGGAAAACUAGGCAACUUAAGAUAUUUGUGCUUAGAAACAAAUGACCUUUCUGGUCCAAUUCCAAGAGAGAUAGGUGACUUAAGAAGAUUGAAGUUUCUUUACUUAUGGGGCAAUAAUCUUUCGGGAUCCAUACCUUCGGAGAUUGGGAAGCUAACCGAUCUUAUUGAAUUAUGUUUUUAUGAAAAUAAGUUGGUCGGGCAUAUCCCUGCUUCACUGGAAAACCUGAGCAGUCUAAAUGUUCUCUAUCUUUGGGGAAACCAACUUUCAGGGUCCAUUCCUCCAUCUCUUGGAAAAUUAGGCAACUUAAGAAAUUUGAGCUUAAGCACAAAUGACCUUUCUGGUCCCAUUCCAAGAGAGAUAGGUGACUUAAGAAGAUUGAAGUUUCUUUACUUAUGGGGGAAUAAACUUUCAGGAUCCAUACCUUCGGAGAUUGGGAGGCUAACCGAUCUUAUUGUAUUAGAUUUAUUCAGCAAUACUUUGACCGGUUCAAUCCCUGCAUCAAUUGGAAGCAUGGCCAAUUUAACUUCAUUACACCUUGGAGAUAACAACUUUCUUGGUAUCUUGCCUCCCG